AGCCUCUUUGAGGGACAAGCCAUCUCCAGGUCCCUCUUUGGAGCUCUGAGCCUUGGAGGCCACGUUGGAGGUGCACCUGUCCUGGUGUCUCGCAAAGCUGACCCACGGGACAUGACCUCCAGGAAGUUCAAGUCCACAUCACGGCCGAAGCCCAAGUUGUAGAGUGGGAACCUGCCCUUGAUGGCAUCUCGGACAUUCUUGAGGAUUUGGGUACGAUCCGUCACCCCUGCAGCCACACAGCCAGGGCAGCCUGCAGCACCUGCCUGGUUGAGCUAGGCUGAGAUGUCUCUGAGGGCUCUGCUAUCUGACUCACCUUUUUCCCAGAGAAGGACUUCUUGAUAAGUUGGGCAGCCAGUUUCUUGGG